ACCAUUUUUUAUACAGUAGAACCUUGACUUACGAGCUUAAUUUGUUCCGUGACCGAACCCGUAACUCAAUUUGGUCGUAUAUCAAAUCAAUUUUCCCCAUUGAAAUUAACUGAAAUUAGGGGGGUAAUGA